UACGAAGGGGGCUAGCGUUGCUCGGAAUCACUGGGCGUAAAGCGCACGUAGGCGGCUUUUUAAGUCAGGGGUGAAAUCCUGGAGCUCAACUCCAGAACUGCCUUUGAUACUGAGAAGCUUGAGUCCGGGAGAGGUGAGUGGAACUGCGAGUGUAGAGGUGAAAUUCGUAGAUAUUCGCAAGAACACCAGUGGCGAAGGCGGCUCACUGGCCCGGUACUGACGCUGAGGUGCGAAAUCGUGGGGAGCAAACAGG
rnacentral:rRNA from 1 species